GUGCCAGCAGCCGCGGUAAUACGGAGGGAGCUAGCGUUGUUCGGAAUUACUGGGCGUAAAGCGCACGUAGGCGGCUUUGUAAGUUAGAGGUGAAAGCCUGGAGCUCAACUCCAGAACUGCCUUUAAGACUGCAUCGCUUGAAUCCAGGAGAGGUGAGUGGAAUUCCGAGUGUAGAGGUGAAAUUCGUAGAUAUUCGGAAGAACACCAGUUGCGAAGGCGGCUCACUGGACUGGUAUUGACGCUGAGUCGCCAAACCGCAGGGCGCAAACAGGCUUAGAUACCCUGGUAGUCC
rnacentral:rRNA from 1 species